rnacentral:tRNA from 1 species
ACCUGGCUGGCUCAGUCGGUAGAGCAUGUGACUCUUAAUCUCGAGGUCAUGAGUUCGAGUCUCGUGUGGUGUA